rnacentral:misc_RNA from 1 species
AAGAAUCGCCCCGUUUUUUGAAAUGGGUUCUAUUCCCAAACCGUGUUUACAUACCUUUGUUGCUUUGGCAGGCCGCCUCCGGGCGUCGGCUCCGGUUGACUGUGCCUGCCAGAGGACCCAAACUCUAUUGUUAGUGAUGUCUGAGUACUAUAUAAUAGUUA